rnacentral:lncRNA from 1 species
UGGAUUAGUAAGUUGAAGUUUCAUGUAACGAUGUACAUAAUAAAUGGGAAACCCCCUCUACCGAGCAAUGGGUGAGUCAGGCACCAUCAGUAAAAACCUCUGCAAAACACUAACAUUUUGUCUAAUCUACCACCGCAAUCGUUGUAGGAACUAAGGCCUAAGCCCCAGAAUGAACCAAUGAUCAUCUAUACAUAAAAUCUCUCUCCAGCACUACUCCCCCUCCUCUACCACCUGUCACAAAAAACUGCCUCCAAAAACAGUGUCAUCAGCCAAGAUGUGGCCGGCGAACCUCGGUAGGCGGCGCGCGAGCUCGGGAGCCAUUGAUCCUGAUGCGCGGGUAGACCCGCAGGUUCCCAUGGAAGAAGCCGACGAUCUGCUCGAGCGCAGGGACGAAGCCGACCGGAAAGAGUCGCCGAGGCCGCAAGGUGGACAUGCUAUGUCUGUGUGAGGGACGGGCUAUCCUAUCUCUUAUGUGGAACUGCUACAAACAUGUUUACCAUUCUACCCUUUUAACCAAAAAAUAAAUCAUUAAUUCAUUUUCCAAAUCUGACGGUCAGAAAAACCCAAAGGGGGAGUUACACGAAAUUACAACUCGUAACUCGUCAAUCACCCUAAAAGAGCUCAUUAGAAAUAUAUGCAUUUUAAGUCAAUCAUAGCCUUUCGCAUGUAGAAAUGCACGUGCCAUUGUACUAGCUACUUUUCAAAAUAAGUUUAGCUACUAAGUUCAAACAGAUUCACUAAAUCUCAGUCGAUUGAGAUAUACCGGAGUCUUAGUUGUCUUUCCAAGUUGUUGGAUACAUGCACACUACGAUUCUCUACUACUCCCUCCGUACCUAAAUAUAAGUCUUUUAAGACAUUUUACUAGGUGUCUACAUACGGAGCAAAAUGAAUGAAUCUAUACUCUAAAGUAUGUCUAUAUACAUCCGUAUGUAGUUCAUUAGUUGAAUCUCUAGAAAGACUUAUAUUUAGGAACGGAGGGAGUAGAAAACAUAUAUAUUUUAUUUUGAUGUGGGAACUGUAGGAGAUGCGUGCAUGUAGUUCUGGUCUCUCCAAAUUGUAUGUGUUUAAUAGAGAAAGAGCAUGAGCCACUAAAAACAUGCGAUGAUAUUUUCUUCCUGUGCAUUUGCAAAUAUAUUAAAUUGUUUCAUGGAAAGGUUAAAGAUAGUCUUCUUUUAAAAAGAAAAACACAGUACAAACGCAAACUCACAAACACAUACAUACACUAAACCCUAGAAGGACUCAGCCCGACAUGUCUUGAGAUUGAUGAAAUCACCACAAACGUCUUUCAUCAUCUAUUUAAAUAAUACUCCCUGCGUUUCAGUUUAUAAGUCCGGCACGUGUAUCUAGGUCGUCAAUUUGACCAACUUAAUGAGAGACAUAUAUUACAAAAAAUAUAUCAUUAGAAACUUUAGAUGUUCUAUUUUUUAAUGAUAUAAUUUUUAUGUUAAACAAUAUAUUUUAUAUAAGUCAAAUUGAUGACCUAGAUACACGUGAUGCUUUAUAAACUGUGACGGAGGGACUAUCUCACCUUUGUGAGACAUCAAAGCGUCAAAGCUGAAUUUUAACUAGUGCUUGUUUUAAGAUACCAAUAUCCUCCGAACCAUCCAACGAGAAUUUUGUUUUCACGGUUAAAACAAAAUUGACAAAUUUAUAUAUGACACGCAUACAUGCAGUGCGAUAAUGGACAUUAAAGCAAGAUAUGCAUUUCUUCUAUACCUGGGCAUGCGUCUUCCUGCCCCCGCCAUGCUACACUAUUGUGUGUUUUGGUUCACAGGACACAUCAAUUUUCCUUCAUCUUGUAACCCACGUGUUUAUAUGCUAUUAAAAAAAAAACUCUUCCAAACCAAAUAAACAAUUAUCUCUAAACAAAUCCAACAUAAUAAUAAUUCAUUUGCAUUCAAACGUUUUAAAAAACAUAAAAAAUCUUUUGGAUUAGUUAUUUAACUUUUGAAUAAUAUUGAACAUUCCAACAUCUGUAUGUCCCACUGAAAAUAAAUACACCACUCCUCGUUCAUCCGGUGAUAGCGCUAAGCUGAAGGAGGCACCAUCAAAGGACACCGGCCAUUACAACUUUCUAAACUCUAUAGUCCAUGGUCCAUACACCAAGCAUCAUUGUUUAAUUACCGGUAUCGAGCAUGUGUUUUUAAAGAUAAUUAACAUUGCUAAUUGAUAUUGGUUUCAAAAAGAUAUUCAUAUUUUAAAUAUGUUCACUCUUUUAAGCCCAAAAAUUGUUCCAAAUAAAAAAAUGUUAAAUUUGUUCACAAAAUCAUGAAAAAAUUAUAAAAAAGCAUGUCCUCAUAAAAUAUUGGGCACCAAAACAUGUUCCAGUUCUAAUUAAAAAAAUAGUUUCUCAAAAAAAUAUGUUUUCCCGAAAAGCAAAACAUAAAACCGAUUCACAUACUAUUUCAUGAACCACUUAUCUUCCAACAAAUGUAGGAAGUUAGACUGAUUUCUUCACGUCCACACUUGAUGCUCCGAACAAGAAUUAGAGGGUAACCUUAUUACCAAUGUUUAUCAAAAUUGGAUGUCAGAUAUAGAACAUGAUGGCACACAGAGUAGGUUAUGUAAUGUUUUUGCCAGAGUAGGUUAUGUAAUGCUUUCGCCCAUUGCAACGCACGGGCAUUUGUACUAUUCACUCCUAAUUGACCGCAUCCAUCCCAACAUGUGUUCUGUAUGUUUAAAAUUCAAACAAUAUUUUUGUUGUAUGCAGUUUUAUGAUAGUUUCAAGGGAAUAUCCACCAAUGUAGACAUGUACAGUUUCAGACUAAAAAUAUCAAAUCAUCUUUGAAGAAAAAAUCAAUUCAAACUUCAGAAGAUACAUGUUGUGACUUUUGACCCAAGGGUUGCGCUUUGCGCAUGGAAUCCGCAAAAAAAAAACCUGGGGUGCUUUCCUUGCUAGAAACAAAAGGAAUCCGCGAGUUGCUGUCCCACGGUCUUUCUCCAAACCACCCAACUCCCACCUACUCCUCUGCCCCCCGGGCCCCGCAGCGCGCUGUCCCAUGUGUCAUUCUAACGCCUCCCCUCCUAUUAAUCCCCGUCCCAGCGGCGCGGUGGCCGCCACGUCACCAGUCGAUCCCUUCCUUCUGCCGGUGCGCGUCGAGAUCCGUUAACAGGCGCCCUCCUCCCCCUCCGGCGGCAGAGAAGGAGGCCACCGACGGCGUCCGGCGACCGAAGAUGUUCCUUGUGGACUGGUUCUACGGGGUGCUCGCGUCGCUCGGGAUGUGGCAGAAGGAGGCCAAGAUCCUUUUCCUCGGCCUCGACAACGCCGGCAAGACCACGCUCCUCCACAUGCUCAAGGACGAGGUAGGAAAAAAAAUCCUUCCCUUUCUGAUUAUACUUAUGAUCCUUAUGGUGGAUUGGUCGUUUUUCCGUGGAUUAAGGUUUGGUAGUUUGACGAGGUGUGGAGGAACUGUGAUGGUUCUUGGAUCGGGAUGAUCCGCGUGGUUUUAGGAAUAAUUGAUUGAUCCCUUCCCUUCCCUUCCCUUCCUUCUAAUAUAUAUGUUCAUGCACAGUAUCUGUAUAUCAAGAUUGAAGUAUUUCUGACUCUAUUCGGAUUUUAGAUUGGAGAUAUCUGUGCUAGUAGAUAUAUUCAUCUCAGCGGCGAGAGUUCUUGGGGACUUUCUUAAUAGAUUGUUUUCAAACAAACUGUGGAUUUUUCACGGUGCGUUGCAAAAAGUUUCCAUAUUCUUUGGAUUCGGGUGGCUUCGACCGUAUGUGAUAAAAAGGGUUCCCCAUUUUGGGAGUAGUUGGUGGAUCAGCACCCUAAGUCUUUGUUUCCUGUCGAGGAUAGUAGUGGACAGAUUUCAUUUUGGUUGCACUGGAUUGCUUGCCAGAUCUGGACAACUCCCAUAUACUAGCUAGCACCUUAUAGAUUUUUCAUCUUCCAGUAAUCCACGCGUAAAAAGUACCUGCCAUCCUGGGUAUUAUCUACCAUGUAAUUCAGGGGCAUGCAAUUUAGAUCUGCUGCAAAUGCUUCUUCAGAGAGUUAGAUUUCAUUCUAAAUUCAGUAAAUUUGCACACUUAGCGAUAAAGGAAUGAUCUUUUUACUAUUCGACUUGGUUUGGUAAUCUGUCUUUUAAGUUAUUCAUGACGAUUAUGCUCAGAAGCUGUACAUAAUUAAGUUCAACAUUGAAAACACAUGCCAAAUCACAUGUUUUUGCUCCUGUUGGCGGAAUAAAUUCUUACUUGGAUUUAUGUUCCUUCUGGCAGAGGUUGGUUCAGCAUCAGCCUACACAGUACCCAACUUCUGAGGAGCUGAGCAUCGGGAAGAUCAAGUUCAAGGCAUUUGAUUUAGGAGGCCAUCAGAUUGCCCGCCGUGUGUGGAAGGAUUACUAUGCCAAGGUCUCAUUUUCCUCUCCCUUAUUACUCUCUUUUCUAUACAUGACUUAUUUGGUGCUGUCAUAUCUGUUUAAUGCAUUUCUUCUCCUGUGGUGUUGUUUCUAGAAAUAGUGUGCUGUUGUUUGUUACUCCCUCCGUCUGGAAUUACUUGUCGCACAAAUGUAUAAAAAUGGAUGUAUCUAGAAUUAAAAUACAUCUAGAUACAUCCAUUCCUAUGACAAGUAUUUCCGGACGGAGGGAGUAUGUUUUUCUUUCCAUAUGAAAUACAGAUUAUAGAUACAGUAUGACAGUAGCCGUAAAAGUUCUAUUAAAUGUCAUUAUCAGUGGAUAGUAGUAGUUGGCACUGAUGCACUGGAACAUGUCCUAACUUUUGUCCCCACAUGUAUCACCAGCUGUGUGUUGAGAAAUAUUUAUCAAGUUGUUGGCUGGUGGGGUUAGUGCAUUUUGAACCACAAGUAGCUGACUCCAGUACUCCUAUAUGCCGUUCCACUCCCACCGUUGUGUAGCUAUCAAGAUCCAUGAUAUAAGACUAGUGAUAUAUGUGCAUUGGGAAAUAUGCUUUCAUAUUAGUAUGCGUGCACAAUAAUCUUUUGAAAUACAAGUGGUUUUCCUUUUACCCCUUUUGAAUAUAUAUUAGCAUAAAUGCUGUUGUGACUUCUGUUCUUAUCUACCUUAGAUUUUCCUUCUAUCCCAAAUGGUUUUGUACUAUAUUACGAGGUAGCCAGUCACUUUGGCUUGUUGGAUUAAGCAGUGUAUGACUCUAGUGAAAGAGUUAUAUUCAUUAGAGUGUUGCAGCAGGAUCAAUUUGGUGACACAAUCGAAUUCUGAGAGUCUUAAGUGGUCUAGUCCCAGAUGUUAGCAUAAACAUUUACAUUCAUUCUGCAGAGUGUGCGGCAGGAUCAGUUUGAGGAUACAAUCGGGCCGAGAUUCUGUGUAACUAAUUUCCAAACCAUGAAAUAUUAGGAGUUUGGUGGAACAAGGGGGGACAUAGGAAUAUCUCUGGUGGUGGUGGCAAAGGGGCCAGAUCCAGAAGGGUUAAAUUGGUUUUACAAUGGACACUUAGAAAUUGGUGCAAUUACUAAGAGGGAGAUAAGAACGGCUUGGGGUAGAAUAAGUUCAUAGUUGAAACAGGAUACAUAGUAUAUCAGAUAAACUUAGCAAUCAACCUGACUGGGCAAGACUUUAGCAGGAAUAUCAUUAGGAAUGCCCUGAACAAUAAUUAUUCAUUUUCUCAUGAAAUUGUUUUUUUUAAUACUGUAGCCCCGAACUCUUGAAUUGCACGUUGCGGCCAAGAAGGCUUAACUGCUUAAUCAUCGAUUUUGGUGCAUCAUGCAUAUACUCAUGUCGUUUGCAUAUAUGGUGGCCUCUGUUAUUGCUGCUGAUGUUGCUCUGACUUAGUAGUGUACUUCUGUCAUUCUGAGUACCGGUGCGACAACAAUCCUGGAUUUCAUCUGUUUGAUGCUAUCUUUCUGAUUGUCCUGUGGUCAGGUUGAUGCAGUGGUGUACCUCGUGGACGCCUAUGACAAAGAGAGGUUUGCCGAAUCCAAGAAGGAGCUCGACGCCCUCCUCUCAGACGAUUCGCUGGCCACCGUCCCCUUCCUGAUCCUGGGCAACAAGAUCGACAUCCCCUAUGCUGCCUCAGAGGAAGAGCUCCGCUACCACUUGGGUCUUAGCAACUUCACGACUGGCAAGGGCAAGGUGAGCCUCAGCGAGUCCAAUGUCCGCCCCCUGGAGGUCUUCAUGUGCAGCAUCGUCCGCAAGAUGGGAUAUGGCGAAGGGUUCAAGUGGAUGUCGCAGUAUAUUAAGUAGGCCAGGCAGGGGGAAGUGGUGAAAGAAAAAAAAGGGUUAUAAGUAGUCAUGGUGAUACUCUUGUUUUACCUUACCUUGCCACAAGAGUGUUAGGGAGCUAGCUGGUCAUGGUGCCAGUACAUAUGUGAUGUAAUGGAUGUAGUUCAAAGUCUGGGGACUCCGUCCUAGAUUUUUUUUGGUUGAGUUAUUACAAUGUGAUGUUGAAACGGUGAUAUGCUUUGAACUCCAUUGCUGGUGCUCCAUGGCAUUCGGAAUGACGCAUACUGAUUUGUUGUUCUGUGUGUUUUUGUUUUUCUUUGAAGCUGAUGAUCCCCAGCAGAUGGUGUGCUGACAUACCUUUCAUCGGUAUUCUCACUUAAUUUGAGGUUAUAAUUCUUGUUAUCUAUUUUUCCGCCCCUGCAAAUAAAUAGGUGCAGUUCAGUAUCUAAUUUGCAGAUUUCUGCUUGCAUUAUACUCGGUGGCUGACUUGUGCAAAAAUGAAACUGAAUUUACAGUCCACUAGCCAGCAUUUGGAAGCAUUGCCAUAUAUACACAAGCAUGCAGGCUUGUACAGACCAUCCAGUUGCGUGUUGGGAACCCCUUUGUUGGCGCGGUGGAUCCCGGCCAGGGAGGGCUUUGCUUUUAUGUAUUUUUUUGAAUUUUGUUAGGAUUUGUCUCAUGCUUAGAAAGACGACGCGAUAAGCUGAGGACGGUUUUCUGAAAAUAGAUUAAGCUUCUCCCCGUCGAGCCUCCACCUGUCUUUGUACUAUCUUGACUGUGAAUAGAUUAAAAGUUUUCUCAAAAGAAAAGGUAACAUUAUCAUGUUUAAUAAUUUUAUUCUUGGACUUGUUCAUGAAUUCCGAUUCGACGCAACCCUAAAAUUAAUUGCAAUAAACCAAUUUCGCCCGUAUGGAAAAUCCAAAGUUGACCUUGCAACCUAACAAAAAUAAUCAUAGACCCGGAUCAUAAACUUCCUUUCCCGAAUUUGAAAACUUGAAUUUCCAUUGUUGAAGUGAUUUCAGAAUAGUCAGCUGACAGACUCUCCACUAAACCCUGCAAACCUCUCCACAGGACAGGAGUAGGGAGACACCGCGCCGCGCCACUCCCCAAAACAUUUUGUCCGAGUUUCUUCCGCCUCCCAGUCGAAGCGGAUGGCGAUGGCAGGCAGGAGGCGCCCCGAUCUCCUCCUGCGCCGCCGCGCCAAUCUCUCAGCCCGUAACCCGCCGAGAUCCAGCCUUUCCACCGUCUCCGGCCGGAGUCCGCCCGAACCCGCCGACCCGGCCCGCGCGGCGACGAUCCUGGCCGAGAAGGACUGGUUCGCGCGGCUCAACUCGGAGUUCGCCGCCGCGCUGCCGCGCCUGGGCCCGCGCUUCGUGGUCCGCGUGCUGCACGCCGCCGUUCCCCUCGAGCCCCGCCUCUGCGUCCGCCUCUACGUCUGGGCGUCGCGGUUCGGGGCCCACUUCGCGCGCGACGCCUCGGUGCGGCGGGCCCUGGAGGACGCGCUGUGGCGCCGCGGGCCGCUCGUGCUGUCCGCGGCGCUGGUGGCGGAGGUCAGGGGCUGCGGGUGCGAGGUCUCCGAGGAGCUGCUCUGCUCCAUGAUCGCCAGCUGGGGCAGGCUGGGCCUCGCGCAGUACGCGCACGAGGUGUUCGUGCAAAUGCCGCGCCUCGGGCUGAGGCCCAGCACCGCGGUGUACAACGCGCUGAUCGCGGCGUCCGUGAGGGCCGGCGCCGUCGACACGGCCUACCUCAGGUUCCAGCAGAUGCCUGCGGACGGGUGCCAGCCGGACUGCUUCACCUACAACACGCUCGUUCACGGGGUCUGUUGUGGUGGGAUCGUCGAUGAGGCGCUCCGUCUGGUGAGGCAGAUGGAGGGCGUUGGGAUCAAGCCGAAUGUGUUCACUUACACGAUGCUGGUUGAUGGGUUCUGCAAUGCUGGCAGGCCGGAGGACGCGGUUCAUGUGUUCAAUACUAUGAAGGAUAAGGGUGUAUCGCCCAAUGAGGCCUCUUACAGGACUUUGGUUCAUGGUGUGUUCCGGUGCUUGGGGAACCUCAAGGCCUAUGAGAUGCUGAGUGAGUGGCUAGGACGUGAGCCUCCACUGCACCCAAGUGUGUGGCAUACCAUGCUGUAUUGCUUAUCAAAGAAGGAGAUGGCCAAAGAGGUAGUUGAGGUCGUGAAGAAGAUGAAAACUAGGGGUCUUCUCCUCGACAAUGCAAUGUUUGGCAUUGUGGCCUCUUGUGCUGUGAAGUGCCUGGAGUUGAGUGAUUUGUGUGAGUUGGUUGAUGAUUUCACAAAGAAAGGCGGGAAUCCUGGAUUUCAUGUCUAUAUUAUGAUCAUCAAAUCCCUACUGGACUGCAAAAGUUCUUCAAGGGCAAACCACUAUUUAGAGCGCAUGGUUUUGGACGGGCUCUUGUCUAGUGUGGCAUCUUAUAACAUGGUGAUAGAUUGCUUUGUCAAGGAAGGUGCAGUGGAUAGGGCAGUGGAGAUUAUAAAACAGAUGCGAGAGAAAGGUUUCCUUCCAAACCUUGUUACCUAUAAUACACUGUUAAGUGGUUACUCAAAGUUAGGGGAUGUACAUAAUGCAAAGGCUGUUCUUAAGAUGCUUAUGGAACAUGGUUUCAUGCCAGAUAUCAUUACUUUUACCUCCCUCAUUGACGGGCUAUGCCAUGCCAAUCAAAUGGAUGAUGCGUUUGAUUGCUUCAGUGAGAUGGCAGAGUGGGGUGUUAGACCAAAUGCUCAUACUUACAAUGUACUAAUGCGUGCACUUUGUUCAGUAGGGCACGUUAACAAGGCCAUUGAUCUUCUUAAUAAAAUGAAAAUAGAUGGCAUUAGUCCCGAUGCAUAUUCCUUCAAUGCUCCUAUUUUGAGUUUUUGCAGAAUGAAGAAAGUAGAUAAAGCUCGUAGUAUUUUUAAUGCCAUGCUGAGAUUAGGUGUUGCUCCAGACGGUUACACAUGCAACAUCCUGAUUAAAGCUCUGUGUGAUGAAAGAAGAGUUGAUGAUGCCAAAGAAAUUCUAGCUGCAACUGAGUCUAGUGGCUGUACUGUGACCGAUCAUCAUCACUCAUACUGGCCAAUUGUUUCUGCACUUACUAAAAUGGGUCGAUUCAGUGAGGCAGGACAGUUGAUGAACAAAUGUGACAUCAGAAAUGUUCAGUUAGAUUGUGGUUCUAAUCGUACCACAGAGCCUGCAAUGCGUGCCCGAGUUAUCAAUGUGUGAGUUGCGAUUUGGCAUCUACAUGCUGUUUGGUACAUGAAUGAUGCCCUCCUCCUGCAAUGGAGGCUCACAACUGUCUCAUCUUUGCUAAGGUGCAGUAGACCAACAUCACUGUCCAUAACCGCUCCUUGCAAUCUGUUUUGAUGAUAUUUCAUUUGUCCUGCUCUUAAAUCUUAUUUCCAGAUGAUUCACUUGGAACUUCUCGGCGCCCAUUGCUUUGUAUUGCAUUUCAGGAAUGAUAUGGAUUUGCUCAUUCCCGUCUAAAACUCUUCGCAGAAGAAGUCAGUAUGUUUCUUCUAGCUCUUUGCAUGUUUUGGUGAAUUCUCUACUUAAAGGGAUGAACUUCAUGCAAAAAUUUAUAGCUGUUUUAAUUUGCAAAUACUGGAGAGGAAACACCUCAAGCUAACAAAAAAUGAAUUUCAUGUACUUCUAGGACUAGUUACAUUUUAAAUUGAAGUAAAGAGGAUUAGGAAAUUUAGUUUGAAACAAAGGGUAGUCAGAAAUUUCUAGUAGUCCUCAGUAAACAUGUAACAUCAGGUGCAAUAUUCCUAUAAUUCUAUGUACUAUUAGAGUCUAAAAGCUGGCCGCACACAAAUUUGACCGUGGAGGCACUAAUUUGACCGUAGUAACUGCACUAAUUUGGCUCAACAUCUCAUUGAAGAUAAAGACUUAUUAAGAAUUUCUCAUUUAUCUCAUUGUUUUCUUGCAGGGCUGCUGAUUUCCAAAAGGAUUAUUAUGCUUGUCUGCAAAUGCUCUUCUUUUGGGAAACAAGCAUAUCACAUCAUGCAAACUCGAUGGUGCGGAGGAUAAUUGCUUCCAAAUUCUCCUUGAGUAUCUGGACUGCACCCCAACAGCUUUCUAUGAUGACUAUGUCUACUGGUCAUGGGGGAGUUUGUUAUGUGAAUUCUCAUCGCUGCUCAACUUCUGUUCAACCUGACGGGGGCUAGCUUUUGUUCUUAUUAAUGAGCUGUUCAUGUUGAGGAGGUGCAUUAUUCUGGUCUUGAGGCUACUUAGAGCGUCAAACUGACACCUGGAGAUGAAUAACGCUGAUUCACGUGUGCGGCCUCCUGUACCCAGUUGUUGCAGUUGUAUAUACACCAAUUGUUGCAAUGGUAUAUUCAGUUGUUGAUAGAAUUGAUUCUACAAACUACAUUCGUUACUUCAGACCAGGGUGCAAAUAUAAAGCUUAAUUGGUCAGACGUCUCCUAUUAUUAUGAUCUCCUGGACAACAUUACUUCACAUUGCAGGAUCCUCCAUUCUGUUACAACGGUUUAGUAGACAGUUUAUUUAUGCUUUCAUGGGCUUCUUUGUUUGGACCUGAACCUGUUGAAACGAGGAAUCUUGAAUAAACCAAUCAUGUGCAUGAUUCUGUUAUUACAGAAACCAAAGGUGGCAUAGGCAUGUACAUGUAAUUGAAUUCUUUAACACUUCGAUCGUAAACCAGUGCCUACGAGAUUUUGUUUUAGAAGAAAAUAAUUCACGAAGAAUGAUACUCCUAUACAGACUGGCUGUGGUCACUAACUGUCCCCAGUAAUAUUGCUGUUAGAGAAGUACUUCCUCCGUUCCUAAAUAUAAGUUUUUUAAACGAUUUCACUAUGUGUCUACAUAUGGAGCAAAAUGAUUGAAUGUACACUCUAAAGUAUGUCUAUAUACAUCUGUAUGUAGUCCACUAGUGAAAUCUCUACAAAGACUUAUAUUUAGAAACGGAGGGAGUAGAUCUUUUGUGGGUGUGGUCACUAACGGUCCCCAGGUGGUUGAGGUGGAGGAUAAUGAUGAUAGUGGACUGCAAUCCGAUGUGGCAUGUAUGCUCCAAUCUCCUAGCAAUUCUUCUGAGAAGUGAUGAUUCUCGCUCAACCUUUAUAUCCUGAAGAGAUGUGUGCAGAAUAGCAUAGAGAACUAGAGCUGCUGCAUUGACAAGGAAGAGGAACCUGGAUGGUACUCCUGUUAACCCUAAAUCCAAUUCUUAUGAUGCCUUAUCAAAUAAUCAAUUAAUGCUUAGGGCUGCUAAGUUGGUUGUGAUUAUUCCUGAUGAUGAUUGUACUUGUGUGGAAAUUAUUAGGGAACUUGAGAAAAUCUGGAUGAAUAAUGAUAUUGAUAUNNNNNNNNNNNNNNNNNNNNNNNNNNNNNNNNNNNNNNNNNCUGCUGCUGCUGAUGCUAAUGUUAAUAGUACUUUACACAUUACUAAUCAGAAAGGGGAGGACACCCCCAUUGAGAUAGACUAGAGGCCUAUUACCUCUAUUAAUGAGGAUUCUUUUAUUGUUAGAGCAUGGUUAAUAGUAUAGCUAACUGCUGGUUAUAAACCAUCUUAUAGCUAACUUGUACAAUAGUUAGAUAUAAAAGAGUACUACUUUUAUCAUAUAUGAUCCACCUUUCAUUCUCACAAAGCACCUGGGAGCACGUGCUAGAGCUAGCUCUUCACGAAGAGUCCGCUUUCCUUCUCUCUCCUUUUCUCUCUCAUCCAACUCAGCAAAAAUAUAGUAUUUUAAUCCUUACAACCUGCUGGCUGUACCUUAUUGUACUUGUUUUUAGGUCCAAGAAGAAAAGAACCAGAAAAAUUAAUGUGAUUGUGUCUAGCCCCGUGACCACUAGUCCAACCCUUAAUAAUGCUGCUUGUUCUGCCCAUCCUCUGUCUACCAGGAUGGGAAACCCUCAUAGAUAUAAAUGAAUGUCAUUAUAGAAUUGUAAGGGGCCCGGCUUCCUGCCUCUCUUAUUUAAUAGAAGGCCAUUCCCUUGAUUUUCUUGUACUUCCUCCUUUUUAGUCUAUAGGUCUCAAAUCUGAAAUAUCAGAUUUUUAUUAUAUUAGUCUCAUUUUGAGUCUAAUUGAGUUAAAAUGCUUUGAGUUCCACGCCAUAUUUGAUUCAUAGAGUUUAGAAAAAGGAAAUGAGUGGCUAUGCAUGCAUCGUUUUCUACAUUCAUCAUGCAAGUCCAAUAAGGCUGGUCACAAUGGGGAGUAACAUAAGGUAGGAACCUACACACUUUUCUAGACUAUGUUCCUACCUCCACAAUGGGGAGUAACAUAUAUGUAGUGUCAUGCAACAAUGCAUUUAUUAGGCUAUAGACUCAUUGUUUGUUGGAGUGUGUGAUGUUCCGGUAACUUAGCUAGUUACCACAAGCACCUCUCUCUUUAUUAAAUAUGUGCCACAUAAGCAAAGUUGUAUUGGAGUGUGUGAUGUUACUGCUAAGUUCCUCCCCAUUGUGACCAGCCUAAAGAGGAUGCUACAUUUAUUGCCUUGGAAAUUAAAUAUGUGAGAAAUAUUUCAUAAGCUAGUUAAAACUAGUGUCAUCCACUCACAGUUCACCUUGGUUGAUGAGAUUUUAGAUUUGAGCCUAUAAACCGAAAAGGAGGGAGUACUUCAUGAAACUCUGAAAGGUUUCUUUAGAAAAUUUGAUCCUUAUGAGUUAUUUUGUUGGAACUGAUAUCUGUGGGAAAAGCUGAGGGGAUUUUAUGUGGUGUGAAAAAAAGAGAGGUUGGAGAUUAUCUCGGCGAGCAUAGCCAAUAUAUCAUGUAAUUACUUCUAUGAGAUGCAGUGAAAGAAUACGGCUGCCGGCCCUGCCUAGCUCAAGCCUGCCUCACAUGAGGCUGGUUGAGCAAAUACAUCCUUUAAACCAAUAUCUGUAACCUGUUUGGUUGCCCGCAUUUAGUUCUUACACAUUAGGGAGCAGCUUAACGUAUAAUAUUUGGUUACCCGCAUUGUCCGAACUCAUACAUAAGCACGCUGUUUGGUUGCAUACACGGUGCGAGACGUGCUAACCUUGUACCUUAUGUGGUGAGGUUACCUUACACAUGAUCACACCUAGCACAUCACAACAGCGCAAUGACGACAAACUGCAGGAUGAUGAUAAAGUUCUUCACCGCGAGGCGUGGCGCCGCCUUGCUAAAUGCAACGUUGCCAACUUCAACGACGCCAACUCCAGCAGGUGGCACCACGAGAGCCUCAUUGCUGAAGCCGCCUUGCUACAUGACGGUGCUGUACAGGUCAGGAUGGAUGUCAAGGGUCUUGCUCUCCCUAAUGGUGGUUGCCACCUCCUUCAUGGCCUUGGUCAUGCGGCUGAAGACACUGAUCUCCUCGUCCAUCAGGACGCCCCUCUUCCUCUAUCUACUGCACUGUAAUUCUCUCAUGUAUCAGUAAAGAUAGUUAGGCAGGAUGUAUGAUUUUUAUCCAUCUCGUGGCAUGGAUCUAGGUAAACCACCGUGUCAUGUUCUUCGCCACUGUCUUUCAUGACGCACAACAGAUCGUUAGAUCAAUGGUGUAUUAGCUGCCAAGGACUGAAGUGAAGGAUUUUAUUGGGCCGUGGCCCAUAAAAUCUAGUAACACUUUUACUAUAAUUUUGUGAUGUCCACAAUGUUCACCUUGUGUAAAUAAAAGCUCGGUUGCCUUUGAAUUUUGUUUAACGUUGUUCAAAAUUGACGUCCUAUUUUCAUUUAGAAUUUAAAAACUAUACACUGAGAGCUUCUUUAGUUAAAAUGAUUGUUAUUUGAAUUUUGGAGUAAACUGAUUCCAAGGAUUUUUUUUAAUUCGACCGAGUCCAAUAUGAAUUUUCUUAAGGAAUCAUUUGCAUCACAUUUGAAAGCAAAAUUUCAAUCCACCACAACGUCUUGGUUAUUUGUGUGUGGUUAAACAGAGGAUAUAAGCACGAAUGAUAUGUAGACCUACGUUUUUAAAUCCUACAAAUCAAACAUGGAUUGAAUCAUAUAUUUUGUGGUCAUAAAAAUUCAAAACUGAGAACAGAAACAAAAGUACAUACGCUAUCAGCACAGAGAUAGUAGUUAUAUAAAUUGUUCGAGUUACAUUUGACCUUCAUAAGGUUGCCACUACAAGACUUUGAUCGGCUCAUGUUUUUGUUAUCCAACAGGGGAUACUUACAUUUUUACCAAGACAGACUCUACUAAUAUAAGAUCAACACCACUUAAUGCCAUUGGUCUUUCCAAGGCAUGUAAUAUAAGAAGCAUAUACCUAUAUAUCAUAAAUUUGCAAGCUGAAAAUAGCAGGCAUGCUAGUUGGGCUUGAAGAACUUGAGCUUCAUCCCAGUGUUAACGAUGCUCCAGACACCACCCACAGAGGAGGCCAAGCUGAAGGCGGUGCCGAGCAGGGCGAGGCCCCAGUUCACGUACCAGCUGUAGCUGAACCUCUCAGGCUUCUUGAUACAGAUCCACAUGAAGCACGGGUAGGCAAACGUCACCGGCAGUGUUAGGCCGCCCAGAAGGCCGGCGAGGCUGGAGAGGAACGGCAGAGCGAUGCCGAUGAAGAGCGAGAUGAACCCGUAGAAGAUCCUGAAUCCAGACCGGACCCAGACCGAGCAGGGCCGGUUGGUGCGACCUGUGUAGAAGGCCUCAAAGCUGUCGAACACCGGCAUGGAGUAUAUCUGGAAGCUGCUAAGGCAGUUGAACACAACGAGGAGGAACGUCGCCGCAAGGAGCCCACGGGAGAUGUCGUGGCCGUGGAAGAUGUAGAGGGCGGUCAGGAUCCCUCCUUGUGGCAUCUGUGGGCAUGGGAAAGAACAACAGAAAUGGACCAAGGAUUGUUAGGAAAAAAAAAAGAUGCAUCAUAGCAGAAUAAUGAGUGAGGAGUAGAUGAUUUAAGUACUUGCCAUGUUUCCGUAGGCCCAGUAACCCCCAAUGGCAACAGGGAAGAUGCACAUUGCAAUCAGAAGAUAAGCCGCUUUGGCCCCGCGCCACAUAGGCACAUGUGCAGGGUGUUUGAAAGUCGACGGCAUCGUCGCCUGGUAGUUGCAAAAUUAAUUUAAAUAAAACAAAUGAAGCCACCAAAUGGAACUACAUAGUACUGAAAGUCUAAAAGGACUGGUUGUUGAGUAGUACUAACCUGUAUUUCUAAUGAAAGAUUGUGUCCCCUGAAUGCAAAGGCUAUUAUCCCAAGAGCAUUCAAGGUAGAGAACAACGAUGAACCAAAAGAAGUGGAUCUCACUUGUUCAUAAGAGAUUGCUGCCGGCCGUUGCUGACUAACAGAGAGAACCCACGACAUGGUGCAGUACAUUAUCGCUGUGGCGCCACCGAUAAGCGAAAGCCCAGCAAUCGAGUUGAGAUUUGGGAGCUGGGAAAGAAUGACUGCUAAGGAUGUGAAUACCAAGUACCACUCGACCGUCGAAAUAGGGCUCGGUGUACAAAGGGGGCCGCACACUAUUUGGUAAAAGAGCUUCAUAGUCUCCCCUCCAACAAGAAUCAAUGCAGUUGCAGUGCCCGCCGAGAGAUAAAUAGUUGGGAAAAGAGCUAGCCACACUCCCAGUUUUUCCCCUGAAUGAAUAAACAGAUAGAAAUCAGCAACUCAGCUAAUUUUUCAGUCCUACAAAAUGAAUUUCCAGCAAUCCAUGUAGCAGCAGAUCAGAAGACAAUUUAGCCAACAUUGCAUGUACUAACUCAGCUUGGUAUAACAGGCAAUAAUUGGUUAAUUACUCAAAAAAAGUGUGUGUUGCAAUGGUUUGUGGUAGCAGAAAGUUCCACAUUUUACACCACUGUAGCAUGAGAGCGAUCUGUUAUAACCGUUAAGCAGUCAUUUCUACUGUUCCGGAUGUGGAUCAAAUCAUGAGAGCGAUUGUACAUUAAGCUGGCACUACCCAUGCUUGAACACUUCACCUAGCUAAUAAUGUCAAAAGAUUCUUUCCUAAGCUGCAUGAAACAGAUCGUCAACAUUGAGAACGACUCCAAACAUGGCACACCAUUGACAGCAAACAUUGGCACAGAUAUCCAGGAUGGAAUCAAAAGUUAAUUGUCAUGAAUUUGCAAAAUAGCGAAUGGCAUGUCUUUGUCUCACCAAAUGCGGCUUGUGCAAGCUCCACAUAUCUGUUGUACCUCCUGCCUGGGACUGCUUCAUGAAGCUUGACUAGAAUGGAGAGUGUGUAUAGUUGCCAGAAGUAGGCAACAGUCAAUGAUAUUAUCCCCCAGCUCCUACAGUAUAAGAGAACCAUAUGUUAGGACUGGAAUAUGCUGUUAUCCUUCUAGUGUCAUGUUAGGAUAUUGUUUUUUUUUUUUUUUUGCGGAAUGUUAGGAUAUUGUUUACAACGUAUAUGUACAUUGCGCAUUGUGUCGAUAUUAUAUGUAAUUUUCCUUUAUUAAUAUACCUCAUGCCUCACCCGGGACUUCAGAUCCAAAAUCAAGUGAAAAAACCAUGAAAAACACAUUUCUAAAUUACGCGCUCUUUUAAUAUUAACACCUUUGAUGUGUUUAUACUUCUAAACGUUUUGAUUCACAUAUAAACAAGCUGCAACAAUCUUGAAAGUAAACACCUAAACUAGAGGAGAAGUUGUUAUGCCUUCAGUUUUGUUUUGGUGAAACUUUAGCACUGAACUUGAAGCCUCCACCAAUCUGAACAAUCUAAAUAACGUUUGAUUUUUUUGAGGUUAGAACAGAACAUGUACAAAACUAAAAUCCAGGACAAGAAAGUCGAAAAGGGUGCUGUGAGGGGGGAGGGGUUGCUGGGGUUUAGGAUGUGAGAAUGGCGAGUGAGGUUACUGACCAUCCGAGUGCGGGGAAGGCGAGCGGGAGGAGGAGCGCCUGGAACCCAAGGCCGGCGUUGAGAGAGUGGAAUGCGGCGUAGCUGGCGUUGCCGCUGCGGCUCUCGGUGAUGGGCAGCCAGGCGUCCUGCGGGUUGAGGCGCGUGAGGUGGCCCACCUCCUCCAGGUAGCCGCGCAGGCCCUCCACCACCCGGCGCACCGGCGUCCCGGCGCCGCUCGUCGCCGCUCCUCCCCUCCUGACCGGCGGCGUUGACACCCCCUCCGGCGUUGACAACCCCCGUGGCGUCACGGGGAUCGACACCAGCUCCGGCUCCCCCGCCCCCUCCGCCAUUGCGGCCAUCCCUUCCCUUGGACGACUUGGACUGAGUUCUUGGAGCACGCUGUGUGUGUGGUGGUGACUGUGAGCGAGGAGAAGUGAUUUUCUUGGAGCUCGUGGGGAAGGGUGAAAAGAAAAAGAAAAGGUGGUGGUGGUGGAGUGGGGGACAGACGGGGUGGGGGGCGUGUGUCGGAGAAGGCCCCGUCCUUUCUCUGUCGGGCGAGGAGAGAGAAGCAUCAAGCAUGGGGCGGAUAAACACUUCCGUAGAGAGAGAGAGUUGCAUGCAGACGAGCAGUACGACGACGGCAAUGGCGUGGUGCAGUGCAAUGGCGUGUGUGGAGGAGAAAAAAUCGACGAGCCGCACGAACUUCCGUACUGCUACGCUGUAGAUGGCGUGUGAAUAGCUCGACUGUUCGGACGUUGGGUGGUGGAGGAGUCGUCGAGUGCAGAGCUUUGCAUCCGUAGGUGGUCAUUUUGGCAGAGAUCGUGGUCGUGCCUUGUGGGGGAAGGAGAUCCGAGAGUCAGAGUGUGAAAUGGAUGCCACGCACAUGGGUAACACGCAAGGAUGGGCGGCACUUGAAUACCGAGACUUUUUUCUUUUUCAACGAUCCAUUCGUCUACCGUUCGUGUCCGGAACACGUCCGCGCAUCAAAACAACUAUUUAUACAUUUUUCCCAGCAUUCAUGAAUCUUAAAUCUGGACUUUUCAAUUCAUGUACAUCGAUCACAGGAGAUAUAGUCGUACAUAAAUAAUAAAUGUUAGUAUCACAUAUAAAUAGUGUUUACAUCAAUUUUAUUUUAAAUGCACAAACAAAUAUUAGCUCUUUGAUUUUUAUUAUGGGUCCAUACAUGUUCUAUAAGAUCAUUGAAUAGUUGCGCGUAUAUCUCAUGAUCUCGAAGAUUCUAAUAGAUCCGCAUAAAGUUCGUAAAUUGAGUUAGAUUCUGAUCUUUCGGAAUUUCAACUCGUUCUCCAAGUACUUCAAAACCAUUGGUUUGCGCUACAUCAUCACCUUAAUCCUCGACAAUCAUAUUCUGCAAACAACAUGUCAUGAGCUACCACAAAAUUUCUGAUUUUCACAUCAUUGCAACCCCACGAAAAAUUCCCCAAUGAGCUUGAAGCACACCAAACGCCCUCUCCAUAUCCUUCCUAGUCGCUUCCUGCAUUGUUGCAAAGUGGCUCCAUUUCUUAUCAUGUGGUUCAAAUAUGGACUUCACAAACCCCGCCCACCAAGGGUGGAUACCAUCGGCAAGAUAGUAUCACAUGUUGUAGUCUCGGUUGUUGAUGGUGUAGUUGCACGACGAUGAUUUCCCAUUGCAAAGCCUCCUGAACACCGAAGAUCAUUGAAGCACGUUGAUGUCAUUGUGAGAAACUGACAUUCCGAAGAAAGCAUGUCAAAUCCAUAAAGUCAUGUGAUGCCACCUCUUCUAGUAUGAUGGUGACCCCUUUGGUGUGACGUUCCCCGCAAACCUCUAGGGCAGUUCUUCUAUUGCCAAUGCAUGCAAUCAAUUGAUUCGAGCAUUCUUGGAAACCCCACGGACUUUCUAAUAACCAACAACUUCUUUGUAUCCUGCGCAUUUGCUUAUCUAAGAUACUCAGGUCCAAACACCUCCACCACGUCGCGGGGAAACUUGAUAGUAGCAUUCUAGCAUGUGCUCUCCCCCAUCCCGACGAUCUCACCAAUGGAUCUACGGCAGUACCAAGUGCAAUCAUUGUUGGGGAACGACGCAUGGGAAACAAAAAAUUUCCUACGCGCACGAAGACCUAUCAUGGUGAUGUCCAUCUANNNNNNNNNNNNNNNNNNNNNNNNNNNNNNNNNNNNNNNNNNNNNNNNNNNNNNNNNNNNNNNNNNNNNNNNNNNNNNNNNNNNNNNNNNNNNNNNNNNNNNNNNNNNNNNNNNNNNNNNNNNNNNNNNNNNNNNNNNNNNNNNNNNNNNNNNNNNNNNNNNNNNNNNNNNNNNNNNNCGGACGGCACCUCCCCGUACAGCUCACGUACAGCUCGAUGAUGAUCUCGGCCUUCUUGAUCCAGCAAGAGAGACGGAGAGGUAGAAGAGUUCUCCGACAGCGUGACGGCGCUCCGGAGGUUGGUGAUGACCUUGUCUCAGCAGGGCUCCGCCCAAGCUCCGCAGAAACGCGAUCUAGAGGAAAAAACGUGNNNNNNNNNNNNNNNNNNNNNNNNNNNNNNNNNNNNNNNNNNNNNNNNNNNNNNNNNNNNNNNNNNNNNNNNNNNNNNNNNNNNNNNNNNNNNNNNNNNNGUUGCCCCCCCGGUGAACUCCCGGAACCCAUUCGUCAUUCCCGGUACAUUCCCGGUAACUCCGAAAACCUUCCGGUAAUCAAAUGAGGUCAUUCUAUAUAUCAAUCUUCGUUUCCGGACCAUUCCGGAAACCCUCGUGACGUCCGUGAUCUCAUCCGGGACUCCAAACAACAUUCGGUAACCAACCAUAUAACUCAAAUACGCAUAAAACAACGUCGAACCUUAAGUGUGCAGACCCUGCGGGUUCGAGAACUAUGUAGACAUGACCCGAGAGACUCCUCGGUCAAUAUCCAAUAGCGGGACCUGGAUGCCCAUAUUGGAUCCUACAUAUUCUACGAAGAUCUUAUCGUUUGAACCUCAGUGCCAAGGAUUCAUAUAAUCCCGUAUAUCAUUGCCUUUGUCCUUCAAUAUGUUACUUGCCUGGGAUUCGAUCGUCAGUAUCCGCAUACCUAUUUCAAUCCCGUUUACCGACAAGUCUCUUUACUCGUUCUGUAAUACAAGAUCCGGCAACUUACACUAAGUCACAUUGCUUGCAAGGCUUGUGUGUGAUGUUGUAUUACCGAGUGGGCCCCGAGAUACCUCUCCGUCAUACAGAGUGACAAAUCCCAGUCUUGAUCCAUACUAACUCAACUAACACGUUCGGAGAUACCUGUAGAGCAUCUUUAUAGUCACCCAGUUACGUUGCGACGUUUGAUACACACAAAGCAUUCCUCCGGUGUCAGUGAGUUAUAUGAUCUCAUGGUCAUAGGAAUAAAUACUUGACACGCAGAAAACAGUAGCAACAAAAUGACACGAUCAACAUGCUACGUCUAUUAGUUUGGGUCUAGUCCAUCACAUGAUUCUCCUAAUGAUGUGAUCCCGUUAUCAAGUGACAACACUUGCCUAUGGCCAGGAAACCUUGACCAUCUUUGAUCAACGAGCUAGUCAACUAGAGGCUUACUAGGGACAGUGUUUUGUCUAUGUAUCCACACAAGUAUUGUGUUUCCAAUCAAUACAAUUAUAGCAUGGAUAAUAAACGAUUAUCAUGAACUAAGAAAUAUAAUAAUAACUAAUUUAUUAUUGCCGCUAGGGCAUAUUUCCAACACUAGAUGACUCUCUCUCUCUCUCUCUCAUCUUUAAUGCCAUGUUCUCCUUGAUCUUCUUGAAGUUAUAUCCUAUUUAAUCUUAUUUUGCAGUGUGAUUGUUGGGAUCCGACGAAUUAUAGGUUUAUAAACAGAUUAUUCCUAGAAAGUAAUUGAGUAUUUUUACUAACUUUAUUAUGCAUGAUUAUUAUAGCUACGUAUACUUUUCGAUCUAUGAGUUUUCUUUGGCCAAUUAGAUUAUUAGAUCUGCAGAGGGAGUGGUGCAUAGUAGUGGGGUAAAUCUCUCGUUGUUCUCACCCAGUGACAAAAGGGAUAGCGAGCAGGAGCGAAGCGAGGAUAAAAGGUGAUUUGGGGUCAACACAAACGAAUAACACUAAUGUUUUCCUUAAGAAACAAAGAAUUAAUAGUAUAUGGCUAACAAAUGCAUAACUUGUAUUAAGUAAUAUUUAUAUAAUCAUAAUUGCUAAUGUAUCAUAACAAAAUACACCCUAAGAUAACAGGAGAAUAUGAAUUUGAGAUGAAUAGAAGAAUAGCAAUUACUCCCUCCGUUCCUAAAUAUAGGUGAUACGUCAAUUUUGCAUCAUGCUUUCAUGUUAAUAUUUAUCGCUUCUUGGGCUAUUAUUUCACUUCACGGUACAAUACUUAUGCCUUUUCUCUCUUAUUUUGCAAGGUUUACAUGAAGAGAGAGAAUGCCGGCAGCUGGAAUUCUGGCGUGAAAAAGUAGCAAAGUUGAGAUACAUAUUCUGCGCAACUCCAAACGUCGUAAAAAUCAACGAGGAUUUUUUUCGGAUUUACAAAAAAUAUUGGGCCGAAGAAGCGCCAGAGGGGCGCCAGUAGGUGGUCACAAGCCUGCUAGGCGCGGCCAUCCCCUGGCUGCGCCUAGGGGGCUUGUGAGCACCCAGCUGGCCCUCUGGCCCCCCUCUUCUGCUAUAUGAAGGGUUUCGUCCGAAAAAAAAAAUCAAGAGGAGGCUUUUUCGAGGAUUCGCCGCCGCCACGAGGCGGAACUUGAGCAGAACCAAUCUAGACCUCCGGCAGGACGAUCCCGCUGGGGAAACUUCCCUCCCGGAGGGGGAAAUCAUCGCCAUCGUCAUCACCAACACUCCUCUCAUCAGAGGGGACUCAUCUCCAUCAACAUCCUCAUCAGCACCAUCUCAUCUCCAAACCCUAGUUCAUCUCUUGUAACCAAUCUCCGUUUCCCGACUCCGAUUGGUACUUGUAAGGUUGCUAGUAGUGUUAAUUACUCUUUGUAGUUGAUGCUAGUUGGAUUACUUGGUGNNNNNNNNNNNNNNNNNNNNNNNNNNNNNNNNNNNNNNNNNNNNNNNNNNNNNNNNNNNNNNNNNNNNNNNNNNNNNNNNNNNNNNNNNNNNNNNNNNNNCUGAGGCCAGCCCCAUUGGUCAUGCACUGCUUCGGGUUGGCGGGGUCAAGUGGGACCUGCUUGGUCUCUUUAGCCGGCUUGAAAGAGCCUUCGCCGGCCGAUUGGGACGGAGGAUAAGGAAUCACCGGCUGCUCGGUAGCGUGGGCCACGAGCCGGUCGAUCUGCCGCUUCUCCUCGGCAAUCACCAAGGCGUCGGUGAGGCGGCUGCUAUCUUGGGCGCACUCGAGCGACUUCUUGUAGUCGCCAACAACAGUGAUGAUGCCCUUGGGACCCGGCAUCUUCAUCUUCAGGUAGAUCGUAAUGCGGAAUAGCCAUGAACUUGGCCAGAGUCGGUCUCCCCAGCAGCGUGUGAUACAGGCUGCUGAGGUCCACCACCUCGAACCAUAUGGACUCACGACGGAAGUGGGCCUUGUCGCCGAAGAGGACGUCUAGCUGGAUCUUGCCGACGGGCGAGCAAGACUGCCCAGGCACGAUGCCGUGGAAGACAGUGCUGGUUGGCAGGACGUCCUUCUCCUUGAGCCCGAGCUUGCGGAGAGUGUCGAGGUAGAGGAUGUUGAUGCUGCUGCCGCCAUCGACCAGCACCGGGGAGAAUCGGCAGGUGAGCCUCUUGGAGGCGAAGGUGGGGUCGAGGACGAGUGCGUAUGACCCCGGUUGGGCAUCACCGCAGGGUGGUCCACCCGGCUCCAUGUAAUUGGUUUGUCGGACCAAUGCAUGUACUGGGGAACCGGGGGGACAGUGGCGUUUACCUCGCACCGCCUUUGGCGCAUGCUGUGCUUGUUGUCGCCUUCGUUGGUGAAGACGACGAACGCUCCAUCUUGAUGCGGGUAGUCGUCAGGGUGCGGGCCGUCGUCGCGAGGCGGUGGCGGCGGAAGCGGGGUGUGAUGGGGAGCUGGUGCACGGGGCGCCGCCUGCGCACCCGGGGGAGCCAGCAUUCCCUCCCCUUGCGAUAGCCGCGCGUGCAAUGCUGCACUAUCGAAGGGUAUGGGCACACGGCCCCACCCCGGAAUGUAUCUUGCAGGGGGCGUCGAGCAACUGCUCGAGAGUCUGNNNNNNNNNNNNNNNNNNNNNNNNNNNNNNNNNNNNNNNNNNNNNNNNNNNNNNNNNNNNNNNNNNNNNNNNNNNNNNNNNNNNNNNNNNNNNNNNNNNNGAUUAGCGUACGAUCAAAUCGAGGGCACCACACCACAUAUUCGCGCCACCUUUCUUCAGUGCCAACUUCGUCGCAGAUUGUCGCAAUUUGACCCUGGUCGCCUUUGUUACGUCGUUCCUGCCCCGCUCCGACGCUUCAUCAUAGNNNNNNNNNNNNNNNNNNNNNNNNNNNNNNNNNNNNNNNNNNNNNNNNNNNNNNNNNNNNNNNNNNNNNNNNNNNNNNNNNNNNNNNNNNNNNNNNNNNNNNNNNNNNNNNNNNNNNNNNNNNNNNNNNNNNNAUUGUGCCUAUGAUCUAAAUCUGGGAAUAACUAUGAAGAUCCAAGGAUGGAUAGGUCAAUCUUUACCAACAAAUACAACAAGGAGAAGAGGAUGAUGAAGAUAUGUAGAUUUCUCUAGGUAGGUUUAACCUCCUAGUCGCUAUAAUUUCUCCCGAUCUAAGAUCAAACGUAUGAUCUUUCUGCGCUAACCAUGUGUUCGGUGUGUGUGGUUCAACAACACUUCAUCGUCUAGGACGAAGAGUAACCGGAGGACAAGGAGGUGGAGUAGACCUUGUGGUAGUGGAGAAAACUACGCAAUGAGAGAAAGUGGACACAACCAUCANNNNNNNNNNNNNNNNNNNNNNNNNNNNNNNNNNNNNNNNNNNNNNNNNNNNNNNNNNNNNNNNNNNNNNNNNNNNNNNNNNNNNNNNNNNNNNNNNNNNNNNNNNNNNNNNNNNNNNNNNNNNNNNNNNNNNNNNNNNNNNNNNNNNNNNNNNNNNNNNNNNNNNNNNNNNNNNNNNNNNNNNNNNNNNNNNNNNNNNNNNNNNNNNNNNNNNNNNNNNNNNNNUUGCUAAAAUUUUAUACUAGAGCUAGUACAAAGUUGAGACAGUUAUUUCAGGAUAGAGGGAGUACUAUGUUAACACAUAUAUAUACUUUUUAUAGCAUUAUAUAUUAUUUUGCGGCACUAACCCAUUCAUCUAGUGCCUAGUGUCAAUUCGUGUUUUUGCUCACUUUUGUAUUGUAGGAAAUCUGUAUUUAUGAAAUUCCAAANNNNNNNNNNNNNNNNNNNNNNNNNNNNNNNNNNNNNNNNNNNNNNNNNNNNNNNNNNNNNNNNNNNNNNNNNNNNNNNNNNNNNNNNNNNNNNNNNNNNCCUUUCGUCCGGAAAAAAAUCAAGGAGAAGAAUUCAUCGCGUUUUACGAUACGGAGGCGCCGCCACCUCCUGUUCUUCCUGUGGAGGGCAGAUCUGGAGUCCGUUCUCAGGUCCAGGGAGGGGAGAUCGUCUCCAUCGUCAUCACCAACCUUCCUUCAUCGCCAGUUCCAUGAUGCUCUUCACCGUUCGUGAGUAAUCUCAUCGUAGACUUACUGGAUGGUGAUGGGUUGGAUGAGAUCUAUCAUGUAAUCGAGUUAGUUUUGACGGGGAUUGAUCCCUAGUAUCCACUAUGUUCUGAGAUUGAUGUUGCUACUACUUUGCCAUGCUUACGGGAUUGAUCCCUAGUAUCCACUAUGUUCUGAGAUUGAAGUUGCUACUACUUUGCCAUGCUUAAUGCUUGUCACUAGGGCCCGAGUGCCAUGAUUUCAGAUCUGAACCUAUUAUGUUGUCGCCUAUAUAUGUGUCUUCUUGAUCCUAUGUUGCAAGUUGUAGUCACCUACUAUGUGUUAUGACCCGGCAACCCUGGAGUGACAAUAGCCGGAACCACUCUCGGAGAUGAUCAUCGUAUGAGGAGUUCAUGUAUUCACCAAGUGUUAAUGCGUUGGUCCGGUUCUUUAUUAAAAGGAGAACCUUACUAUCCCGUAGUUUCCAUUAGAACCCCGCUGCCACGGGAGUGAUGGACAAUAGAUGUCAUGCAAGUUAUUUUCCCUAAGCACGUAUGACUACAUACAGAAUACAUGCCUACAUUACAUUGACGAACUGGAGCUAGUUACAUAUCUCUCCGUGUUAUAACUGUUGCAUGAUGAAUAGCAUCCGACAUAAUCAUCCAUCACCGAUCCAAUGCCUACGUGUCUUUUCCUACUCUGUUGCUACUAUUGUUACUUUGCUGCCACUGCUGUCACUUUGUUGCUACUGGUUACUGUUGCUACUAUUGCUAUCACACUACUUUGCUACUGAUACUUUGCUGCAGAUACUAAGUCUUUCAGGUGUGGUUGAAUUGACAACUCAACUGCUAAUACUUGAGAAUAUUCUUUGGCUUCCCCUUGUGUCGACUAAUACUUGAGAAUAUUCUUUGGCUUCCCCUUGAGUCGAAUCAAAAAAUUUGGGUUGAGUACUCUACUCUCGAAAACUGUUGCGACCCCCUAUACUUGUGGGUUAUCAAGACAUUUUUCUAGCGUCGUUGCCGGAGAGGCAUAGCUAUAUUCUCUGAGUAACUUGGGAUUUAUGUCUGCUGGUCACUAUGAGGAAUCUGAAAGAUCCAAGAACUAAAGUCUUGCCCUCAACUACGAGGACAGGUAAGGAACUUCCAUCUAGCUCUGCACUUGAUUCACCUUUAGUUAUGAGUAAGUUUGCGACACCACCUCCNNNNNNNNNNNNNNNNNNNNNNNNNNNNNNNNNNNNNNNNNNNNNNNNNNNNNNNNNNNNNNNNNNNNNNNNNNNNNNNNNNNNNNNNNNNNNNNNNNNNCACAUCUCAAUCGGGUGGUAUUAGUAUCUUUUAGUCCUUUUCUAUACUCUGGGUUCUACUCUCUCUUCUCAUUUGGGUUAAAGAAUUUGCUAACUCUAACAUUAGGUUCUCGUAAUCACAUCGACCCGGAGAGCUGGAUUAUCUACUAAUGUUCUUAUGAUAAUAUGUUACACACACUGUCAUCAGACAUCCUUGAAUCUUCCUUUUCAGAUGCGUCCCGCAAGGCAGCGCGUACGCCUGCCACUGGCUGUUGAUGCGAGUGGGUUCCCGGCCAUUUUGGCCGACCUCUUGACCAGUCUGGGAUAUCUCUGGUACCCUGAGUACACUGUGUACGUGGAUUUCCAUGAGUUUAAUCAGUAACAGUACCAGGAUGAGGUUCGCAUGUUCGAUCAGACGGACAUGUCCAUCCGCGAGCUACACAUCAUCUCCGGUGUUGGGUUGUCGAUCAAUAUGGUUGUCCAUGAUGCGGCCUAUAUCGCUAUCAGCCACCUCCGUGGAGUGCACCCUCGCUUGGAGGAGACUGCCUUCAGAUACAUCCCGUAUGUUCCCGAUGGGGUUGAGACUAGAUCGGAUCUCACUGCCUACACUGCUCGCAUUCGGGAGCGCAACGACCGGUCCUACAUCGUUGUUUGUGCCCCCUACGUGACGCGUCACUACGACCCACGGGUUCUGGUGCAAUACACUGAGGCGCUGGAUUGUGCCUUCCGAGCUGAGACUGUGGAGCUAUAUGCCACGUGUAACCAUCUUUACGACGCAUUGACACAAUUGGAGCCAGCAGUCAAUGCGAGGAUCCACCCUGCAUUCAUCCUCCACCCGUGCAGGACAGAGCUACCAUCAGGUCUUGAGUGGCCUGCUGUUGGAGGUUGUACCCCUGCACUUGGACCUCUGCUACCCGAGUCGAUGCGGUACAAGCACACGAGUCACCACGGGAUGAAGAAUCCUGCUCCUAGGUUCUCCUACCGAAGUCACUGUCAGCUACCUAAAUUUAGCCGUUCUUGAUGACCCACAAGCGUAUGGGAUCGCAAUAGUUUUCGAGGGUAGAGUAUUCAACCCAAAUUUGUUGGUUCGCCAAGGNNNNNNNNNNNNNNNNNNNNNNNNNNNNNNNNNNNNNNNNNNNNNNNNNNNNNNNNNNNNNNNNNNNNNNNNNNNNNNNNNNNNNNNNNNNNNNNNNNNNCUCAAGAUACUUCAAGUCCCUUCUCAAGAAGAAUUAAAGUGUGCCACAAGAAACUUCCAUGACUGUGCGUGGACAUAGUGGCUUCACACACCAUCAAAGAGCAUUGACCUGGGUUGGUCCAAGACAAAGAAAGCUAUGCGGAGAGAGUUUGUGCCUUCUAAAUACAUGAAACAUCUUCAACACCGAUUGGAUAACACCAUACAAGGAUCUAAGCCCCUCGACGAGUAAUUCAUGGAGAUGAAGAAAGCCUUGACGAGCCGGAGUUGCCGACCCCAUUUAGAUGAAGUUCCACUUCAAGAUGGGAUUGAACAACAACAUCGCCAAGACUAUCUUCACCAACACCUACAAGUCUCUCGAUGACCUCUACUUUGGUUCUCUCAAGGUGGAACAAGCACUCAAGGACAAGGAUACUCGACCCCGCUCACACUUCGUGGAGACCACGCUACACGACUAAGAGCAUGAGGACAGUACUACCAAGAUGUCCAAGCCAAACGAGCUCCAAGACGACCCUCCCAAGUCCGACUUCACCGCAAUCCCUAUUUGUGGCAUUGACUAUGCCGAUUCUACCACAAAUCUUUUUGAAGAUGAUGCAGCGAUGGGCAUGACUAUGGAGUCACUCUUGGAACAUGCUUUGGAGGCGAGUGACAAGGUGGCGAGCAGGGAUGAUGCUUCCAUCUUUGGAGGUGAGAGUGAUGAUGUACCAUCUUUGGCCUUCAUCCACGGCGACGUUGACGGCAUGGUUAAGCAUGGGAUUUUCCCUUCAAUCAUGGCGGCGUUUGGAGAUGAGUUGAGGGACUCUUGCCACCAUAUUGAGAGUGAGAGUGACUUCACCACAUGUGAUAAUGAUUGCAAUACCUCAAGGGAGUGAGUGAGCCACCACCAAAUAGAGUGAAUGAGGUAGUUGAUACGGCAUGUGAGGCCAUGCUGAUUUUUAACAAUGUAACCUCAACCUCUAUUGUGUCCUAUCAUUUGGUGCUAGGUCUCGUACACGAUGGCAUGCCCGUCCUCAACGACUUCAUCCACCCAUUGGACAAGACAAUGGCCUUGGUGAAAUAUGAUGCACCCCCACAUGGUUCCAUCACGAUGAAGAUGACCAUUAUUUUGCCUUUGACAUCCACCUACACCACAUGAGUGGCAUGAAAAAGGUAACAUAGGUGAAGGUGAUGUUCUUGUCCUACUAGUAGACAUUGAUUCCUUGCAUGAUGAUGAUCCACUAUUGCCAUGGUUCGUGAUUAUGCAACUUCCAUGUGUGAUGAAUUACCCAUUUAUGAUGAGUUUGAUGAUUCUCAUGUGGAGUCUAUUAGUUGUGAUGACAUGUUGCAUAGGAAAUCUUGUGAGGACUCAUUAGGUCACAUUGUGUUUCACAAUCUACUUGACUUUUCAUAUGCUAUGCAUGAGAACACCCAUAUUGCAUCUUUUCAAUCUUAUCGUAGCAACUAUGCAUACGACAUUAAAACAAACCAAUUUUCACAUAUGACAUAAAUGACAAGACCAUGGUUAUUGGCAUUUGUUUUCCUUAUGAUGAUAUUUCCAUGCUCCCUUUACAUCAUUUGUGCAAUUGUUCACAUAUGCCAUGCCAUGACCACCUAGCAUUGGAUAUUCAUUGUUUUGGAUGUUGUCCAUAUUCUAUGAAUUAUGCUUCCACUAUAACAUGAGGAGACCCCCAUAGUUUCCUCAUAUCUAUUAGCAGAUUUUGAUAAAUCCUACACCUUGCAGGUUAUCAUAUUUGUGUGCACAACAUGCUUGGAAUUGAUAUGAAUGAUAUGCUUGCUCCACACAUUUCAUAUAAUUUGCGUCCCACUCAUGUUGAACACAGUAACUAUCAUUGCAUGAUGGAUGAUGUAUUCCUAUACCAUGCCUCAAAUUUAUUUGAGCAUUGUUUAUCUUAUGAUAACCCUCAUGUGCACAUACACACCAUAAUGGAUGAUAUGUACAUUUAGCAUGCACACACUUUGUUUCAUCUGUCUCCUUGUGUAGGUACACAUGAUUCCUCGUCAACCUCGCAAGUGCACGAGUUGACGAAACGAGCUCUAUAGAGCAACAAAGACAUGUGCCACAAUGGAGNNNNNNNNNNNNNNNNNNNNNNNNNNNNNNNNNNNNNNNNNNNNNNNNNNNNNNNNNNNNNNNNNNNNNNNNNNNNNNNNNNNNNNNNNNNNNNNNNNNNNNNNNNNNNNNNNNNNNNNNNNNNNNNNNNNNNNNNNNNNNNNNNNNNNNNNNNNNNNNNNNNNNNNNNNNNNNNNNNNNNNNCCACAAUGGAGUGCUUACCCUCCACCCUUCCUCAUUGCGCAAAUACUUCGCGCAUCUCUUGUACAUGGCCCUCACAUGGUUUUGGGUUAUUGCCCACAUCUUAUGCCCAUAUUGCCAUGUUCACUUUGCAUCAUAUGGUCAUUUCUUUGCCCUUGCCAUGCAUUUGUGACCCAUGCUUUGCAUUACACAUGAUCCAUGAUUCUUGUCUAUAUAUGUGUAUUUGCAAGCUUGGUGGAGAUAUAGAUUGUUCUUGCCAUGUUCCAUUUGAUAUUCAUGCCUAUGAUGAAACAUUGAUCUUAUUUUGUGUUCGUGCUUGCGAUAUGUCAUGUGCAUUGCAUAUUCUUACUAUUUUCUCACAUGACAUGAUUACCAUGAUUUCCUCUAGUAUGUUGCAUCUUCGCACUACUAGUUUGCACGACAUGAUCACUAUGCUUGCUUGUGUUGCAUCACCGACAAUUCAUACUUGCUCCUUUUAUGCGGUUGAUCACAACCAUUACCAUGCUUUGCACAUGAUUGAUAUUGCUUAUUGUCAUAUGUCUCCUUGUGUUGCCUCUUUCAUGCUAGAUGGUUUGCCAUGUAUUGACAGCAAUAAUGCAUUUGAUAUUGUUAAUGAGAUUUCCCCCAUAGCUUUCUCUCAUAUUAUUGGAGAUUUUGACAUUUAUCAUGUGAAACAUGCUUGUCUUCCUUCCUUGCACCAUAUGACUAGUGCCAUGAAUAUUGACAUUGUUGCAUCAUAUUAUUCAUGUCCUUGUACUCCUGACGGUGAUGUGCAAGAGAAGAGAACCAUAAUGAUGGAUGAUGUGUUUGUAUACCAUGCACAUACAUUGUUUCCUUUGUUGUGUGUAUGUGUAGGAUGCCUCAACUACAUGUCAACUUCCACUUCAUGUGAGUUGACGACUUGAGCUCUUGAGGGCUAGCCAUGCUACACCGACACAAUUCUAUAUCACACUUUCUUGCACACUGGUAUUGUGAAGGACGCACAAGGACAAGCUUUCAAGGUGAUAUCCUUCUCGAGCAUGGAUAUUGUGGCUCAUCCUACUUGUGUUGCUUGUACCAUGACAUGCAUUGGUCAUCCUGGGCCACUCAGUUGCACACAUGAUAGAGAUAUGGCUCCCAUUCUAGAUUGCCACCUUUCCAUGCCUCAUGACAUAUAUGCCUUGUGUGUUGCAUCAACUUGUGGAUUGAUUGCUCUUAUCAUAUGCUUGGUUGCAACAAUUUCCAUUCUUCACAUUUGCGAUGCUAUAUUGCUUCCUACAUGCUUGACUUGAUUGCCUCACACAUGAUGACCACUUGCUAUUUCUAUUGUGUUGAGUGCCACACUAUCUUCACUACACCAUGUGCACAUUAUGCUUGGAUUGCCUUGCACUUUGGAUUACUCCAUGUGUUUACACACUUCCUUCUAAUUGGUGUUGUGAAUGAUUCCUAUGCCUACCAUAGACCUUUUGUUGAAUGCUUUAAGCAUCAUUGCUAUGACCAUGAGGUAGAUGCUUGUUAUAUUGUCACACAUAUUUGCAUCCUUGCCUCACCUUCGCAUACAUGUUUCCAUGAUUGCAUUGCUUACACUAAAUUUGUAUGCUUACAUGCCAUGACACAAUCUCUUGUCACACCAUAUGUUAUGCAUGAUGACAACACUUGUACAGUGAUUCACCACUUCAAUGUUUGGUUUUGCACUAACGCUUACCACAUUUUUUUUCCAAGUGUUUGUCGUAUUUUUUCCUUUUGAAGGAAUUACUAGACUAUGUGACAUUGGAGAGUGACCCUUUUGAGUGUGAUGAUAAUACGUGCUUGGUGAUCUUUGACUUCUACACGGCGACGCCAUUCCCUUUCCAUGGUGAUUUGGAUUUUGAUCAAAGGGCGGAUCUUUCCCAAGGGGGAGGUGAUGGUGCAGAGCAUCCUACAGACAUCACCUUGGCAAGAGUCCAUUUGGCAACUGACAUGUGCGACAUCAACUCCACAUACAUAAAGGUGAAUCAUCUCCUUUACACGUGUUCANNNNNNNNNNNNNNNNNNNNNNNNNNNNNNNNNNNNNNNNNNNNNNNNNNNNNNNNNNNNNNNNNNNNNNNNNNNNNNNNNNNNNNNNNNNNNNNNNNNNGUACCCCCGCCCCGCGGCAGCCGUCCCCCGCCGGAUCUGGCUUCACCUGGCUCAUUCCCGUCCAGCAACCUCCCCGGCUACCUCCUGCGGCGGCCCGCCUUCAGCACGGUCUGGAGACGUACUGGCGAUGGCGCGCUGAGGUGGAGAGGGCUGCGGCGACGCGGUCUCCUCCCCCAUUCUCUGUCUUCUCCGGCGACCCCAGCUCCACCUCCAGCCGAAGAAAUUCACCAUGGCGACAGGCCCAUCUCCUCCCGCGACUGCGGCGACCGCCGCCUCCUCUCCGCGAAGCCGGGGACCACCUCCUCCUCUUCCGCCUCCUCUUAUUCCACAUGGCAGAGCCUCGCUGCAGCCAUACCCCCGCCCCGCGGCAGCCCUCCCCUGCCGGAUCUGGCUUCGCCUGGCUCAUUCCCGUCCAGCAACCUCCCCGGCUACCUCCUGCGACGGCCCGCCUUCAGCACGGUCUCUCUCUGGCCGCCGCCGCCGCCUGCUCUCCAUCCACUACCCCAUAUCGUCCCCGUGGUACGCCCCUGCACCCCGCACGUGCUCGCAGAUGUGGCCCAAGCUGGUGGCCGAAGCCAAGGACGACGGCGCCGACUGCAUGGAGACCUACUUCUUCUUAAAAUUGGACAAGGUGGUUUUGGUGUUGUCUAUUAUGCUGAGCUUAGAGGCGAUAUGAAGAAGCUGCAGCUCAGGUGUGUUCAUUGCUUCUGAUAUGCCCAUUUCAGGAGAUAUGGUUAAUUGAGCCUGAAUUUCUAGAUCCUAAUCUUGCUCACUUUUAUUACAGGGUAUAGUUUCAGGAAUCAAUGCAACUAGACAUUCUGAUGGAAAGCGACUAAUUGUUCUUGAGAGGGAAAGCAGUUACAUUGGGACUCUGAUUGANNNNNNNNNNAGUUAAUUGAGCCUGAAUUUCUGGAUCCUAAUCUUGCUCACUUUUAUUACAGGGUAUAGUUUUAGGAAUCAAUGCAACUAGACAUUCUGAUGGAAAGCCACUAAUUGUUCUUGAGAGGGAAAGCAGUUACAUUGGGACUCUGAUUGAUGAUCUUGUUACAAAAUAUCUUAGGGAGCCUUAUCCCUAUAUAGACUAACUUUUUUGUUGAACACAAUCUGAAACAUAACCGUAUAUUUGUUUGUUGCAGAUUGUAAGGUUCUAAGAUAAAGAAUCUCAUCGGGUGUUUCUUGAACCGGAGGGUAGAGAUGUCCCUGAGCUAUAUCUAGAGGUCCCUCUCUGCCCCUCAAUUCUGCAAAUUUCCCCUUUUUCACCAAUUGUUUUCAGUCUGAGAUUUGGUAUCACUUGUUCUUAUCUAUGUAGUUUUUGUGUAAAAACGAUAUUUUCUGUAUCAUUGUGAUACUCAAAAUCUACAACUUAGACCAUUUAUACACCUCAUACAGGGCUUUUCCACCGGUCUUCCUGAGAGAUUGCAAUUACCACUUGUGAGAACACUACCAGGACUGGAGAACUGUGUGAUGUUAAGGCCAGCUUAUGUUGUUGAAUAUGAUUACUUGCCUGCUUAUUAGUGCUCAAGAUCGCUUAUAACAAAAAAGGUGUGAGGGCUUAUUCUUUGGUCAGAUUAAUGGAACAACAGGAUAUGAAGAAGCUGCAGCUCAGGUGUGUCCAUUGCUUCUGAUAUGCCCAUUUCAGGACAUAUGUUUAAUUGAGCUUGAUUUUUUGGAUCCUAAUCUUCCUUCUGAUAUGCCCAUUUCAGGACAUAUGGUUAAUUGAGCCUGAUUUCAGCGAUACAAAUUUGAUCGGCUUCCGAUACAUUUCGACGAUGCAUCUGUAGGUAAGGCCGCAAACCUUAGGCCAGGCUGGCAGGAUCGGCGGCGUGAGCCCGGCUGACAUGACAGUUCUCCUGAUCUCGACGGAGAGCACCCUCCGCGCGGCUGAGUGCAAGCAACAACAAGAAAUGAUGAGGUCCAUCGCCGCUGCCAGGGCCAAUGCCAAUGCCAGGGCAGACGAUUCUUCAGACGAGGCGGUUCGUGCCAGCGCUACCACCGCGUAACCUCACGCGCUGCUAGCCGUGACUGCUACAGGCAACCGAACCUGGGACCCUGGCAACGGAAUCUCUCGACGUAACUGGAACACAACAGAAUUGUUCAGGAGAUGUUGAGGAUGCAUGUCAUGUACCUGAACACACGCCACGUUUCGACGAUCGGCCUGACAAGAUGGUAGGUGGUGCUGAGACGAUUUCGGUUUCAGUCAUGUGGAUGACUAAAGCUUAUUCAGAAUGCUAGGUCCAAUAAGGAGAUCAUAGAGGGAUCUGUUGUGCUUAGAUAUCAUAGAGGGAUAUGCUGUGCUUAGAGAUCAGUAGGCACACGUGUAAAGAGCUGCACGGGCGACUGCGUUGCACGGUGUUUGCUAUUUUUUUAUGUACAUAUAUUACAUGAAUCUUUUCAAAAUCUGGAAUAUCGCAGUGAAGCAAUUUCGUUUAUGUAUCAUGUGANNNNNNNNNNUCGGCUGACAUGACGGUUCUCCUGAUCUCGAUGGAGAGCACCCUCCGCGCGGCUGAGUGCAAGGAACAACAAGAAAUGAUGAGGUCCAUCGCCGCUGCCAGGGCCAAUGCCANNNNNNNNNNUGAGGCGGUUCGUGCCAGCGCUACCACCGCGUAACCUCACGCGCUGCUGGCCGUGACUGCUACAGGCAACCAAACCUGGGACCCUGGCAACGGAAUCUCUCGACGUAACUGGAACACAACAGAAUUGUUCAGGAGAUGCUGAGGAUGCAUGUCAUGUACCUGAACACACGCCACGUUUCGACGACCGGCCUGACAGGAUGGUAGGUGGUGCUGAGACGAUUUUGGUUUCAGGCAUGUGGAUGACUAAAGCUUAUUCAGAAUGCUAGGUCCAACAAGGAGAUCAUAGAGGGAUCUGUUGUGCUUAGAUAUCAUAGAGGGAUCUGCUGUGCUUAGAGAUCAGUAGGCACACAUGUAAAGCGCUGCACGGGCGACUGCGUUGCACGGUGUUUGCUAUUUUUUAUGUACAUAUAUUACAUGAAUCUUUUAAAAAUCUGGAAUAUCGCAGUGAAGCAAUUUCGUUUAUGUAUCAUGUGAGCUAUCACUGGGAUUUAUAUACAUCAUGGGUGCAAUGGAACAAUAAAAUACAUAAUGAAGAUGGAUUAGUAAGUUGAAGUUUCAUGUAACGAUGUACAUAAUAAAUGGGAAACCCCCUCUACCGAGCAAUGGGUGAGUCAGGCACCAUCAGUAAAAACCUCUGCAAAACACUAACAUUUUGUCUAAUCUACCACCGCAAUCGUUGUAGGAACUAAGGCCUAAGCCCCAGAAUGAACCAAUGAUCAUCUAUACAUAAAAUCUCUCUCCAGCACUACUCCCCCUCCUCUACCACCUGUCACAAAAAACUGCCU